CCUAAAUUCCCAAAAAAUCAGAAACCUAACCCUAAAACCCUUAACCCAGCCUCUGAAACACUCACCCGCACUCCCACCCCUAUUUCAUCCCCUUCAGCGUAACACUCACCCUUAAUCCCUGAUUCAGCGCCGCAACCCUCCUCACUAUCACUCAGCCUCACAGCCCUUAUCUCUCAUGGAAAACACACACAUACACACAACACAACUCACCCACACUCAUUGACAUAGAGAGGAGAAAGCUGGUCACGUCGCCGCUGCCAUACAUCACCGUCGCACCACCACACCACCGUCGUCACCGAGUUGGAAGAGAGGAAGUGUUGCAGCUGCCAAGUCCCCGGAGGGGAAAGUUCACGUGAAGAGAGAGUGCCCGCAGGGAAAGGGAGGCCGUUCGCAUCCCGUCACACCCGUCGUCGUCCAAGGGGCGCCACUGACCCGUCGCUGCUGCCAGGGCUCGUCGCCAUCACCGUCGCAGGCAUGAAAGGGGGGAAACGAGCAGAACGCGAGGAAGAGGAGGAGUUCUCGUCACUGUUGUGUGCCCAUUCAUCGUCGCUGCUUCCAAUCCCGUCGUUGAUGCUACCGCCACUACGACCGUUGAAGCUCGCCGGAGAAGGAGCUAUUGAUAGAAGAAACUGCUGCUGCUCUUACUCUAUACUACACUGUGCUACUCUGUUCAGCCUCUGCUUAAGGUUUUGUAGUUACCAGAGCCCUUUGCCACUAGGAACCAAUAUUGGAGCUGCCCAGAACCACUUUGGUUGCUGCCCAGGAAACAAAAUGAGUCUUGGAACUGCUAACGGAGCUGCUGCGUUUGGCGAUUUUCGUGAGUUUCGACACUCUGAGAGCACAAAUAUCCCACGGAGGAAAUGAAACAAGAUCUUCCUGAGGAGUUAGGGUUGACUGAGAAGCAAAUUUCUGGAUGGUUUGGCCACAGAAGGUUAAAAGAUAAACGGUUGUUGAAAGAUGAAGCAAUUGGUAAUGGAUGACAAGAUCGUUCAACUGGUGUCAUCCAGGACUGUGGUAGUGAACGGCAAGAUUCAUGCGGAAGCAGCAAAGAUGGUGAUUAUCGUUAUGUGGAUCCGAAAGAGGCAAUAGACUUUGACCCAAACUCCUUGUGAAAUAUUCUACCUAAAGCAGUCUCAUCAUUGGAAUGGACAAUCUCAAAGGGAAAAGGAAGAGUUUAUGUGCAUUGUACUGCUGGACUUGGGAGAGCACCAGGGGUGACAAUAGCUUAUUUGAUCUGAUUUUAUGACAUGAAUGGUACAAAAUUAAUGCCAACAUGCUAGACUUUAUAUUGACUGAAAUAUGCUAAAAGAGCCAAGAAUUAUAAAUUUGAUAUGAUACAAUUUUAUGUUAGAAAAAAGUUGUAUUUAGUUGAAUUUGUAGAAAUUAUUUUAUUGUAAAAGAAUCUUAAUGACAUGUAAGAUAUUUUAAUUAUCUAUA